ACGACGAAGCUGUCUUCCUGAAUUCAAACGCAGACAGGCAAAGUCAAUAGCGCAGGCGACGAGAGCGGCGCCUUCCCUUCUCUGCCUAGUCGCCGGGUCCCCUACAGCCCAAUGAUUUCCAAUAAUCGAGCAGUCUAACGUCUCUCACUCUCUCAAUUACUCUGUGGCUCCGAGAGGGCUUCGAGAGCCCUCUAUGUGUGUGCAUGUGUGUGUCAGAGAUGCG
ensembl:ncRNA C16C2.7 ncRNA